UGAGGAAUAUUGCGCAAUGGGGGCAACCCUGACGCAGCGACGCCGCGUGGAUGAUGAAGGCCUUCGGGUCGUAAAAUCCUGUCAGAUGGAAAGAAGUGUAUAUGUGUUAACAGCGCAUAUAUUUGACGAUACC
rnacentral:rRNA from 1 species